CCAAAGGCCCUUUUCAGGGCCACCCACUUUCUCACUUGGGGGAGCU
rfam:Sarcophilus harrisii ctg7180002478241, whole genome shotgun sequence.